rnacentral:rRNA from 1 species
UACGGAGGGUGCGAGCGUUGUCCGGAAUCACUGGGCGUAAAGGGCGCGUAGGCGGCAUGCCAAGCGUGUGGUGAAGGCCCGGGGCUCAACCCCGGGUCGGCCGUGCGGACUGGCGUGCUCGAGCACUGUAGGGGCGGGUGGAAUUCCGGGUGUAGCGGUGGAAUGCGUAGAGAUCCGGAAGAACACCGGUGGCGAAGGCGGCCCGCUGGGCAGGAAGGCUCGCAAGAGCCGGCUGACGCUGAGGCGCGACAGCGUGGGGAGCAAACAGG